AUGUUGAUGAAUCAUCUUGCUUUCAUCACAGUUUCCCUUGGAGCAUGGAAAUCUGCUGUCAUUCUAAUAACCUCUGGUGUUUUCCUCGGAAUAAUACUUCUCUUCACCUUCUUCCUGAUAAGAAAAAUGAGAACCUCCAAGCAAUCAUCCCAACCCGGAGACCGAUCUGACAACAGUGAGAAGUUUCCGUCCAAUCAGUCGGAGGAACAGCGUGACUUUCACUCUGCCACUGUCCACUUCUUGAAGAACCAGACAGAUCCUAUCUACUCCAACAUCCGACCGGUAGGAGCCAGCGGACACGAGGAGGAUGAUGAUGAUGAUGAUGAAGAGGAGGAGGAUGAGGUUGCGUACGCUACUGUCACCUUUAAAAGUUCUGACCCGAGAGUACAGGACACUGGAGAGGAUCCAGCCACGUUGUACAGUACAGUCUCGAAAAACUUCUGA
rnacentral:lncRNA from 1 species